rnacentral:sRNA from 1 species
AGAUAAAGUAAUGUUUCCUUGUUUGAAGAUACAAAGUGAAAGACUCAUACGGACUUAGGCUACAUCAUCAAAGCUUUGUGAGGCAAUAAGAAGCUUGGUUAGUUUUUUGGAGUCAAAUAUGACUAGAUGUCAUGUGUAUGAUUGAGUAUAAGAACUAGAACCGCAACUGAUUCUUAAAAGCUAAAGUAAUGUUUCCUUGUUAGAAGAUACAAAGCUAAAAACGCAUACGGACUUCGGCUAAGGCAUCAAAGUUUUGAGAAGCAAUAAGAAGAUUGGAUAGUGUUUUGGAGUCAAAUAUGACUAGAUGUCAUGUGUAUGAUUGAGUAUUAGAACUAGAACCGCAACCGUUUCCCAAAAGCUAAAGGUGUGUUUCCUUGUUAGAAGAUACAAAGCCACAAAAUCAUAUGGACUUCAGCUACACCAUCAAAGCUUUGAGAAGCAAUAAGAAGUUUUGAUAGUGUUUUAGAGUCAAAUAUGACUAGAUGUCAAGUGGAUAAUUGAGUAUAAGAACUAGAACCGCAACCGGUUCCCAAAGGCUAAAGUAGUGUUUUCUUGUUAAAAGAUACAAAGCCAAAGACUCAUACGGACUUCGGAUACACCAUCAAC